AAAAACUGCUGGUUCCAGAGCAGCUGACCAUGAAUGGUUAUUGAUUCUAUCAUAAAGAGCGGCUGUCUCUGGAGUCUAAGGCUCUUUAGAUUGGCCAGCACCCCAAAUGUCCUGUUUUCUGACUUUUAUCGAACACUGGCCCAGCUCUUCUUGGCUGCUCUCUCACAGUUUGCCAUCGAUGUGUGUGGGAAUGGCGGUAAGAUUGUUUCUGCACUGAGGAAGUGAUGAGAACCAAGUGAAGAUGCUCUCUCACGAUGAUGGCCCCUGAUAGUUGGGACGAGUUGGAAAAGGAACAAAAAGAAGUGCCACGGCCCUCACACCAACAUCCCUGCCUUUGCUGGUUAAAAUGAAGAAUUAUUAUGUGUGAAUGCAUGUUUAUGUAACUGUUUGUCUUCGGCCCAGUGUCAGACUUUUAAAUUAAAGCUAGC